ensembl:lncRNA
UAGAGAAAAGUAUUUUAUAACUCAAUUUCUCCACUUACCAGCCAUAGUACCCAGAAAUCAGCCACACAAUCUUUUUAACUUCUUUGGGCUCUGGCUUUGAACUUUUACUUCACAUUGACUCAGGACAGAAAUGUCACCAUUCCCCAGAAUUUGUAAAAAUAAUUUAUUUUCAGUCUUAAUUAAACUUUCAAUUGCAGUAAGACUGAAUGGCCUUGUUUUUACUCUUAUCUGAAUUUAAACCCUUUGAUUUUCCAUCUGUAUUAAAUUGAAAUGUGAUCUAAAAUGCAACAUGGUGAAGGCUAAAUAAAACCUGCUUAACGCUAUUUUCAAGAGAAGUGUUGUGGUAACUUCUCCCAGGUAAUCCCACAGAAACAAUUUUUUUCUCAAAAGUUCUAUUCUCAAGUCAGCAAAAGAUGUUAAAGACCUUUCAGUGGAAUAGCACUUUUUGCCAGGGACACUUCUAACUUAUCUUCCUUUACAUGCUAUGGGCAAUAACGACGCACGAAAGCCUUGCUCCAUUUUUACGUUGCCUGCUUACACACCUUUUUUGUACUGAUAUGCUUUUCCAUAUAAAGCAUUAGCUCUGUUACAAAACAACAGACAGAAUGCCUCCACAGCUAAACCGAGGAUUCCAGUCUUCCAUAGCCCUCUUCCUAAAGAGCUGUUAAUUAGUUUCAUGAAAAUAGACUGAAGGCACUAGGUCAAGGUUUUAAAGAAAAGUUUUUUCUUUCCUGAGAUAAUGGGAAAUGAAAAAGACGGUAAAAGAUAAUCAACAACUCAAAUAUUCCUAAACAGAAGAGUUUCAAACUGCUCCUAAACACCAAGGCCAGGGAAAUUAGCUGGCUCAAAAUUAUGCUGCUUGGACCUCACCCCUCUCACACAUCCUUGCCUUAGAGAGAAUCAAGGAGUGAAAUAACAGUGAAAGGCUCCAAUCAUGCCUUUUCCAUUGUCUCACUGACACAUGCAAGAUCUAGAUGUCAAAACCAGAAAGAGAGGGUGAGAAUUCCUUCAUGCAUACAGGCAGCAAAUAAGGGUACAGAUCAGGACCCAGACAUCCUGCAUGGCAACGUGCUGUUGAUAGUGAGGAUCACUGAAGUGUUUAAGCAAGGAGGAAAGGCCACAUGCACACAGUUACAACUAAGCAGGUACGUAAGUGAUGGCUGGAUUACAGUUUUGCAACACAAAGCUGAAAACAACUCAAGGGUAGAGAGCACACAACAAGAGUACUCUCGGCAAAUAAAACAAUAUUAAAAUCAUUAAAAAUAUUCAAACUAAGCAGAGAAAAUUCCAAGCCUUCUAAGCCUUUACACAGGCAAAGUUGCUUGGCUUCAGUGCCUAAGCAUCUCCAUAGUAACUGCUACUAGGGAUUUUCAGAACAUUUUAUGAACAUGAUUUAUACAUGAUUGUAUAUUUUACAGCAUAUCUGCCUCGAGGGUUUUGCUGAGUAUCAUUUUCCUGAUUUUAUUAAUAGAGAAACUCUGUGCUUACGUGCCUUGUUCAAAGUACUUACACAAAGGAGUCCCUGAGGACUAUGAAUACUGCUGCUCAAAGUCUAGAAAUCUGUCCUCUUCUCC